rnacentral:tRNA from 1 species
GGCACUAUGCCCGAGUUGGUCUAAGGGGACGCACUCAAGCGAUAUGCUUGCUCAGAACUUCGGGUCUAUUUGCGUUCAGCGUUUGCUGGCGCGUGUUCGAAUCACGCUGGUGUCA